rnacentral:lncRNA from 10 species
CGCGGCUGCACCAGGCUCCCCCCGUGGAGUGAUUCGCUAAAGAAGAAUGCAGGCGUACAUGGAAACCGCACAUCAGGAGCGGAUGGCGAAAGACUGCUUGAAAAUUGGCUGCAGACCAAACCACCUAAAUCCAGAAACAAACCGAAACUUGCUUUAGGUCCUAAUAACAGUCCAAGCCAGCAUUUCCUCUUGCCUGAAGCACAACCUAGACUCCUAACCGGACUCUGGUCCGUCCGGUCACUCCACAUCUCACUGAGAACCAAGAUUGCAAAAUGCAGAUUAGAUCGCCUAGCCCUGCUUCCCUCUCAGAACUUUCUCUGACUUCCUACUCCUCUUAAUAUAAAAAUCCAAUUCCUUAAUGUGUCUACAAGGCCUGGUUCCUCCACUAUGUCUCCAGACUCUCUGGGCUCUGACCUCCAGGGCCCUCUUCCCAUUCCUUGUGUGGACCACACUCCUUGCAGCCACAGGACCUUUGCACAGGCCAUUCUCCG